AAACGCAUCGUAGUCUUACUUGUGCUAUCAUUUACAAGAACAAGUGAGUUGACUGCGCACGAAAAUCCCAGCUUCAACAUGAAACUUCUGGUACUUCUUGGAUUUUUGGCUGUGGCCCACUCGCAAGUUUCCGAGAAACGUCAGAGCUCUCUGUACGUCGUGACGUUGUUGAACGAUACUAUUCCCAGCUUCCAAGAUGCAACGGACUUGAGUUUGCUUAGAAUAUCUGACGCGAAGCAGCAAGUUUCGGAUUCGCUUAAAGACUUUUACGUCUCAGUUCUCGACGCGAAAGCAGUUUCUAUUCAGUCAAUGAUUAACCAAGAGCU